ensembl:snRNA U6 U6 spliceosomal RNA
GUGCUCGCUUCGGCAGCACAUACACUAAAAUUAUAACGAUAUAGAGAAGAGUAGCGUGGCCCCUGCGCAAGGAUGACAUGCAAAUUUGUGAAGCGUUCCGUAUUUUU